rnacentral:rRNA from 1 species
AACCACCAUACAACUUUGAGCGGUGGAUCAC